GAGCAGUCAGCCAGGACAGCGCUGACUUCUAUGGAAAGGCUAUGUAUACAGAGGAGUCAGCAUUUAGCAGAAGACAGAGAAGAGCCUGGGUCCAGCAAGUACAUGGAAACAUUUUUGCCUGCAAAAUCCUACCACAUAGAGAUAACCAAGAAAGCUGACUGUGGCUGUAAGGUAUUCUGUCUGGGAUUACUUUGCUUUUCAUAGACAUUUUACAGCCUGCUGGUGCACCUAAACCAACUAAUGAUCUUUCAUGAUCUGCUGCAUUAUGAACAAAACCCUAGUGCACAAAGCCUAGAGGCUGAGGCUGAUGAAGGUUAUGCCAUUUGUUACAGAUGGUAGCUCUGGCAUAAGUUCCAGGCCAGCUCGUGACUUUCAGUGGCAACAUAAAACUCUUCACAUCAAAAUGAAAGGAGGGAUUCAGAACCUAUUCUUAAUUUUAAAGACUUUAAAAACUUGUCCUAUUGGUUGCCUUAACAACGUAUCUUAUAACUAAGAACGUGUGAUUAUUUUUGUUUUUCUGCAGAGAUCUUAGGUUUUAAACAUUUGGAAAGGGAUGUGCUACAGAAGCUAGCUCAGAGCUGUGCUGCCAGCCUUGGACACGGGUUUCUACAUGCAAAAAAAAUCCUUAAUAUUGAGAAUUUUUCUGACCAGUGAAAUGACUUUCUGCUUUGUAUCCCGUUGUGUACACACCACAGUGUCUUCUGAGAGCCUGAUGCUGAGCGCCCUGUGAGAACACUGACUUAAUGGGACUGUUUUCAUUGGAAAAUGAUGUUUUCAGCUCAAAUUAGGAUAUGCAUUUGCUCAAGCAGGUGACCAACUAUCCAUAGAGCAAAUGAAAACAAGAACCUACCUUCUGUCUGACAUGGAUCUCAUGCUGCCUACACAUGCCUCUCUUGUUCAGCUCAUUUGUGUUCCUCUGCCUUCAUUUCAAGUAAUGGAUAGCUACUUUCUUCUGUGAGUGCCUUGAGGCUCAGUUGAAGUUUGAUACUGACUUUAUUGGAGCCCGAGUGUGAACAACAAAUGUACUGCUUAAUUAUUCCAAAAGGGGCAAGUGGACAGAAGUCUUCAAGUGGUUUUUGUGUCUGCUUUUUGUUGUAGAUAUCCAGAAGAUUGAAAUUUUAAAGAAAAAUGCUAUGUCCUUUGCUUUUAUUAAAUUCUAGGCUAUCCAUAUAAAACAGGAUUGUUUACACCAAACCUUCAGUUUGACUAAUAGCAUCUGGACCGUGCUCUGGGUUUGUCUAUAUCUUGCACCACUACUGCUCUGGUCUUGUUGAACGUAUUUUGCCUUUGGUUAUACAUGUUUUAGUUGGUGCAAUAGAAAAAAGGAACAAGUUUCUUUCAAGUUUGCUGGAAAAGAUGACAGAUAUUUGUUUAAAGAUUUAGAAAGGGUCAAUAGGAAAUCCAUUUUUGUCUCCUGGUAAAUUUAUUGUGAGGCCAUAGCACCAACUAAUGGCGCUAUUUGAAAACCAUAGCUUGCAAAAUCUACUCAUACUUUUAUAAGGGCUUCUAUCUUCAAAACUUUGUGUCUGGGAGGUGUAAAGCUCUGUAGCAACAUUUAUGCAAGUUUAUUUUUUCCUCACAGCAAAUAAGCUUGAAUCAGCUACUGCUGUGCACUUAAUGGCAAUGCAAUGGUUUUCACUUACACAGUGCUAAUUGGGCCUCUGAAAUCAGUUGUGUUAGGAGUGGGGAUACCCUAAAUACAAGAUGGGGAUUGUGUGUGGGAAGUGACUCAACAGUAUUCUAACAAGUAAUUGGCAUAAGCAUCUGUUGACACUCUUUUUCUUUUUUUUUAAAGCUAUGAAGUAUCUCUUGCUUAUUGGUGGCUUCUACUUUAUGUGGCACUCAGUCUAGGCUGA